GUGGGGAAUCUUCCGCAAUGGACGAAAGUCUGACGGAGCAACGCCGCGUGAGUGAAGAAGGUUUUCGGAUCGUAAAGCUCUUUCGUUAGGGACGAACGUGCUCUUUGUGAAUAAUGAGGAGUAAUGACGGUACCUAAAUAAGAAGCCACGGCUAACUACGUGCCAGCAGCCGCGGUAAUACGUAGGUGGCAAGCUUUGUCCGGAAUUAUUGGUCGUAAAUCGCGCGCAGGCGGGAUAUCAAGUCUGUCUUAAAAGUGCGGGGCUCAACCUCGUGAGGGGACAGAAACUGGUAUUCUUGAGUGUCGGAGAGGAAAGUGGAAUUCCAAGUGUAGCGGUGAAAUGCGUAGAGAUUUGGAAGAACACCAGUGGCGAAGGCGACUUUCUGGACGAUGUCUGACGCUGAGGCGCGAAAGCUAGGGGAGCGAACGGGAUUAGAAACCCCAGUAGUCC
rnacentral:rRNA from 1 species